GGUUGUGGCUCAGUGGUAGAGUGCUUGUCUCUAACACUGGGUUUGAUCCUCAGCAUCACAUAAAAAUAAAUAAAUUAAUUAAAGGUAUUGUGUCCAUCUACAGUUAAAAAUAUUUUUUAAAAAAAGGAUGAAUGGGCUGGGGCUCAGCGGUAGAGCCCUUGCCUAGCAUGUGCGGGGCCCUGGGUUCAACCCUCAGCACCA
rnacentral:tRNA from 1 species